CCCUCCUCUGGAGUUUUAUGACCAGUCCAGGAUAUGGCACAGAGCUGAGGUGGGGAGAGCAGUGUCUGAUCCAUCAACUCAAGGAAUGUGGCUGAGCUUUACUCUUCACUGGGAACUCCUGGUGUAGCAGCAAGAUGUCUGGGGCCUGGCUGACUGAGGUGUGUCAAGUGUGUUGAAUGUGUCCACUUGUUUCAUCUUCAACUGAGAUUUGAUAGAAACGUACAUAAUUCAAAACUAAUCCAAGGACGAAAAUAAUUCAUCUGGGGUUCAAGGUACACAAUAUAUCAAGGUACUGUUUCUGAGACAAUAGAUUGGCCUUAUAUCGAGUCUAAUUCCCCACAUACAUCCAUUAUUUGUGUUAGAGAGAUAUUUUGCUUCAAGGAAAGAAGAACCAGCAUGGCUCAAACAUGGAUAGAUCUAUCUUGCUUCCCUGAAACUCGAAACAAAGACAAAGAAGUCAGUGGAAUGGAAUGAAGAGACACUUCAGGAAUCCUAAGCCUACACUUUGUGCACUGUGGAGAGUUCAGAGAAGCAGUGUGCUUAUCCCUGUGAUGACAAAUGAAGAUUAAAUGAAGGUAUUCACCAGACAAUUCCUCCAGUGUUCCCUGAUCUGAAGUGCACACUGAACAUUGUGGAAGAUGGCUUAGCGCUUCUGGCUCAGUGGAAGGAAAGCCUGCAGCUCUGGCAGCAUUAAGGAGCUAAACAAAACCAAGUCUGGAACAUCCUCACUUUCAGGCCCAUGGUUCCAGAUUGGCUGAAAACUUGCAUGGAGCCUGUCCCCGUGCAGAGAUCUGUGUUAGCCAUGGAGAAAGAAGCACAUCUGGCACUGGGUGCAAUCUGGAGCUUCCCAGUAACUUCUGAGACUCUCAAACUUUUUGGUGCUCUUACAGCACUUAGAACUAUGGCACUCUGCACGAGCAGAAAACUUGUUUGAAUAAAAAAUAUGGAUAAGUUUUAUCUUCAUGGCCAGCUACUGACUCUAACAAGAUGGAAUUGAAAUGGGAGAAAUUUAGCUGCUGUACAUAAGUGUCUGCAUGUGGCCUGGUAUUGUAAGAAGGAGACUCAAGUUCUGCUUUUUUAAGAUAUAUCUACAAUCUCUGUAGCCACGCUGUUUCAAGAGGAAGGACACCUGCCUAUGUACAACUUAGUGCAAAUCUUUCCCUCUUCCUUAGUGUCCAUGAGGUGCCCCAGGCCCAGGAAAUGGAAUACCUUCCAGUAGGUCACAACCACUCCUGAGUGAACAUCAGAAGAUGGCUUUGGUCAGCACCUGCCUGAUGGGGCUUCCUGCAGCCUGCCAGAAUGACAGCACGAGAGCCAGACAUUUGCAGCACAUGUCUCAAGAUGUUUCUGAGGAUCAGGUUUGGCCCAGGCAGCCUUGGGUACAUUUAUAACCCCUUGACCUCUUCUUCCUUUUUAAAGCUCUGUUAUUUCUACUGCAAACAAUCUCCUCUGUCCACUGAUGGAUAGACCCACCACUGAUGACCUUCUCUUCAUUGCCAAAGUAGAAGUUUGUAGUUUAGUAGUCAUCUAUCUCUUUGUUAAUCUACUCUCCUUAGUGCUGACUGCAUGUCCUUGAGGAUAUUAGCCAAAUUUAACCUGAAACAAGAUACCCGUCUUUUGGCAAGCGCAAAGACUGAAAUUUAUGCUAUGACAAGAACCUGUGAAAAUUCUUGAAGAUGAUCUAUUUCC